rnacentral:lncRNA from 1 species
CCCAGGACCAGCUGCUGGCGCUGGCGGAGGGCAACACGCUGUCCCGCCUGUCCAAGAACCAGCAGCAUCAGUACUACAAAGCCAUGAUGAGCAUCAGCAGGAGCUCCACGUCACAGACGCUCCGCAGGUCCCACGAGCGGCUCCUGGUCUCUCCUGACCGGCUGGACGACCGGCUGCUGCCGAUGGGUCUGAUGGAGAGGGGCGGGGGCACGGGGAUGGUUCCCACCAUGGGUCGGCUCAGCCACCACCAGAAGGCCCAGUCGCAGCAGAACAUCUGCGCCACGCCGUCUCUGGACCGCCACCACAUGAUCAAGAUGAACUCGCACCCGACGCCCGGCCACGAGCACGACCGCAGCUCCGCGGGCAUGGGCAAGCACGGCGGCUGGGACCCCCACGGCGGAGGAGGAGAAAGAGGAGGAGGAGGAGGAGGAAUGGGGUCGAUGGGAGGACACCCCAACGCCCGACGAAUGGCUUUUGCCAGCAAGAGGCAGAACACCAUCGAACAGCUGCACUUCAUCCCCGGAGGAGGAGGAGGAGGAGGAGGAGGGCAGGGACUGCGGACUGGGAGUAAGAACGAGGUGACAGUGUGAGAGGAAGAUGAGGAGAGGUGAAGGCUGAAGAGAGAGAGAGAGAGAGAGGGUCUGUGAAGCUCUCAGCUGGCUGCCCCCCCCCCCCUUCACUAAAUAUGUCCUGUAUGACGACGUUUAAGCCAAUCGAUUCUCUUCUUGUCACUUUGUGUGUUGAAAGAGAAAUUUCAGCCAUUCUUUGUAAAGGGAAGAUACACGCCCUCCUAAAAAGAGCAAAAAAAACAGGCAGCUGGACGGCUGCUGGGUCUCCGCUGUGACUUUUACUGAAGGAUUUCUGCUGAGUCCGAUUUGUUGAAUUGUCCUUGAGUUUUAUUGCACUGCUGUCCUCCGAGUCCUCGAGCGCUCCGACAGAUCGGUCUGUCUUUGAAUCCGCCGUGGAUGAUGGAGAGCGCCGAGCCGGAGGCGGACGGGUUUGCUUGUCUUUGUAUUUAUAAAAAAAGUAUUUAAAAACCAAACGAGCUGCUUUUGUAUGAGAUGAACCUGAUGAUGAUGAUGAUAAUAUAAUAACAUGAAGAUAACUGAGCCCUGUAGGAUUUUGUGUAUACUUAGUUGAAAACCUAUUUAUCCUUUAGCCAGCCGUAACGGCUGCAUAUGUAAUCAGCCGAUCGUUUCUUUCUCUAGCUGUGAUUGGAUGAUCGAUCGAACCGCAGAAAUAAUCGAGCCGCGUGCCGUCAUCUGCUUUAUGGCUCGAGAUAAGAAAACAAAACAUUUAGGAAGAAAACGUCAUCUCAAAUUGUUGCCAAACAGGCCCGGCCACACCAGCAGGGGAAGAUUUUACCGCUGACGAAGAGGAGGCUGUUUUUGUAGUCCAACAUGGAGGAUGCUAGUGUAGCACAUUAGCUGCACGUCCGUUUUCAUUUAUCCUCCUGUAGUGGAGAAGGAACGGCUCCAAAAAUGGAAUUACUAGGACGAAAAUGUCACGUUUUUGCCCCAUUAGCAAGUAGCCUGCUAGCCUAGUAGUUAGCGAGAUCGCUCUCUUUAGUGACUUUUUAAUAACGUAAAUGCUGUAAAUCCCAAGAAUUAUUCGUGACUGCUCCAUCCACUUGUACUUUACCCUUUAUUUUUGGGAAAGAAAUGGGCCCCCCAAAAAAUGUAUAGCAUAAAAAUAUCUUUUGAAUAAACUGUUAUUAUUGACUGUUAUUAGUGACUAG